GAGAGCGUGGUGUAACGGAAGCACGCCAGUCUACGAAACUGGAGAUUUGGGGGUUCAAAUCCCUCCGCUCUCG
rnacentral:tRNA from 1 species